rnacentral:rRNA from 1 species
GACAGAGGGGGCAAGCGUUGCUCGGAAUCACUGGGCGUAAAGGGCGCGUAGGCGGGAUGGCAAGUCGGUCGUGAAAUCCUUCGGCUCAACCGAAGAACGUCGGCCGAUACUGCCGUUCUUGAGGGAUGCAGAGGAGAUUGGAAUUCCCGGUGUAGCGGUGAAAUGUGUAGAGAUCGGGAGGAACACCGGUGGCGAAGGCGGGUCUCUGGGCAUCUCCUGACGCUGAGGCGCGAAAGCGUGGGGGCAAACGGG